UACGGGGGGGGCAAGCGUUGUUCGGAAUUACUGGGCGUAAAGGGUUCGUAGGUGGCCAACUAAGUCAGACGUGAAAUCCCUCGGCUUAACCGGGGAACUGCGUCUGAUACUGGAUGGCUUGAGUUCGGGAGAGGGAUGCGGAAUUCCAGGUGUAGCGGUGAAAUGCGUAGAUAUCUGGAGGAACACCGGUGGCGAAGGCGGCAUCCUGGACCGAUACUGACGCUGAGGAGCGAAAGCCAGGGGAGCAAACGGG
rnacentral:rRNA from 1 species